AUGGAUGGGCCCGCGUUAGAUUAGCUUGUUGGUGAGGUAAAGGCUCACCAAGGCUACGAUCUUUAGCUGGUCUGAGAGGACGAUCAGCCACAUUGGGACUGAGACACGGCCCAGACAUCUACGGAUGGCAGCAGUUAAGAAUAUUGGACAAUGGGGGCAACCCUGAUCCAGGUAUACCGCGUGUGUGAAGAAGGCCCUAGGGUUGUAAAGCACUUUAAUCAGAGAAGAAGCAAUUUAAGUUAAUACCUUAUUUUGUUGACGUUACCUGAAGAAUAAGGACCGGCUAACUCCGUGCCAGCAGCCGCGGUAAUACGGAGGGUCCAAGCGUUAAUCGGAAUUACUGGGCGUAAAGCGCGCGUAGGCGGUUUAGCAAGUUGUAUGUGAAAGCCCUGGGCUCAACCUAGGAACUGCAUCCAAAACUACUAAGCUAGAGUACGAGAGAGGAGAGUAGAAUUUCUGGUGUAGCGGUGAAAUGCGUAGAUAUCAGAAGGAAUACCAAUGGCGAAGGCAGCUCUCUGGCUCGUCACUGACGCUGAGGUGCGAAAGCGCGGGUAGCAAACAGGAUUAGAUACCCUGGUAGUCCACGCCGUAAACGAUGACAACUAGCCGUUGGGCAAGAUUUAACUGUUCAGUGGCACAGCUAACGCAUAAGUG
rnacentral:rRNA from 1 species